UGAGAAGCCUUAUCGGAGUAUGUGAGGUGAGUGAAGAUAACUUCAAGUUUAAGGGGGAGAAUAUUGGAAUAAGCUUUGAGUUAGCUUCCUAAUCCUACUUGUGUUAUGAUUAUUUAAAGGAUUAAGAAAUAUGGAAAAGAUGUUAUUACUAAUAUCGUUAGGAGUUAUCUAGUUAUAUAUAAGAAGAUGCAUAUGUUGUUCAUUA
rnacentral:lncRNA from 1 species